UCCAGGACCCCAGCAGAUAAGGACAACAAUCCAAGAUGCAAGACAAAGGCCAAUAGCCAGGCUUUUUAGCAAAAGCUGAGGGCAGAAAGCUGCCCCCUUCCCCCUUGGUACCCCACAUCAGCCAAGAAAAUCUCCUGCUACAUCCAGCUGCCUGCGAUGGCACCUUUUCCCCUCUUGGAUAUUUUUGUUUUGACACUGUCAGUGAUUAGAUCCAGUUGCAGCAAGCAGUUACGAACAGCAUGGAGCAGCAGCAGUUUCCAUUCCCUUACCUUCCCGAUUUGCAAGGGAGGGGGGCUUGUAAAUACAGUAAUGAAGAUCUGCCCCGAAAGGAAACACUGCUUACAGCACCACAGAAAACAUCUUCAAUGGCAUUUUUUCGCCUCUGCAGCCGGACCUACGGUGAGCUAACUGAAAACGGAUCCAGCUACUUCUAAAAUUACUUACAGCUCGUGUCCCCCACUACAACUCGUAGCACCGUGCGGACCUAAGGAUGGCUUAAAUUCAGAUGAGAAUAAGCACAAACGCGAGGAGAGGGAGGGGCUGGAAGCUCAGGGUACGUUUUUCGUUGGCAUUAUCUGCCUCAUCCCCCUCUCCCCAGCCAGCAUCGACUCGGUUUUCCGCUGGCGAAGCCCCGCCGAGCGGCACCGUCACCAGGACCGGGUACCCGGACCCGCCGCCUCCCACCCCUGCCCGGGGAACGGAGCCAACAGAGGCUGGCGGGGUGGGGGGGGUGUGUGUAGACGACGAACAGCAUGGGCAGCCACGGCCAUAACAACUACCGCUUACAACUUUGUAUUUAUGGGGUUAUAACGAUAACUAAUAAUAACAAUAAUGAUAAUAAUAACAACAACAAUA